rnacentral:tRNA from 1 species
GCCUCUGUAGCUCAGUUGGUUAGAGCACUGCACCGGAAUCGCAGGGCCGUAGGUUCGAUUCCUACCAGAGGAC